rnacentral:rRNA from 1 species
CCUACGGGAGGCAGCAGUAGGGAAUCUUUCACAAUGGGCGAAAGCCUGAUCGAGCCACGCCGCGUGCAGGAUGAAGGCCUUCGGGUUGUAAACUGCUUUUAUAAGCGAGAAAUAUGAUGGUAACUUAUGAAUAAGGAUCGGCUAACUACGUGCCAGCAGCCGCGGUCAUACGUAGGAUCCGAGCAUUAUCCGGAGUGACUGGGUGUAAAGAGUUGCGUAGGUGGCAUAAUAAGUAGCUAGUGAAAUCUGGUGGCUCAACCAUUCAGACUAUUAGCUAAACUGUUAAGCUCGAGACCGUUAGGGGUAACUGGAAUUGCUAGUGUAGGAGUGAAAUGCGUAGAUAUUAGAAAGAACACCGAUAGCGUAGGCAGGUUACUGGGACGGUUCUGACACUAAGGCACGAAAGCGUAGGGAGCAAACGGGAUUAGAUACCCUGGUAGUC